rnacentral:rRNA from 1 species
UACGACUACAUAUCAGGCAUAUCAAUAAGCGGAGGAAAAGAAACUAACUAGGAUUCCCUCAGUAACGGCGAGUGAAGCGGGAAGAGCUCAAAUUUGAAAUCUUCAAGGUUUUACCUUGACGAAUUGUAGUUUAAAGAAGUGUUUUCUGUUGGAGUUUUGGUAAAAGUUCUUUGGAAUAGGACAUCAUAGAGGGUGAGAAUCCCGUAUUUGACCAUUAUUUCCAGCUUUGUGAUACACUUUCAAAGAGUCGGAUUGUUUGGGAAUGCAGUCCAAAAUGGGUGGUAAAUUUCAUCUAAAGCUAAAUAUUGGCGAGAGACCGAUAGCGAACAAGUACCGUGAGGGAAAGAUGAAAAGAACUUUGAAAAGAGAGUUAAACAGUACGUGAAAUUGUCAAAAGGGAAGCGUUUGACACCAGUGUUGUUUUCUCGAAAAUCAAUUAAAAAGAGCCUGGAUUUUGUGUUGUAUUGACCUUAAUCAGCUUGCUUCACUCUUUUCCAUUGUCUUUUUUAAUGCACUUUUCGUUUAACAAGUCAACAUCAGUUUCUUUUGUUGUAAAAGGGUCAUUGGAAGGUGGCUUUCUUUCGGAGAAAGUGUUUAUAGCCUUUGCUCUCUGCAAUCGGAGAGGAUUGAGGUCUGCAGCGUAGAUCCUUCGGGGUUAGAUACAUUUGUGCUAAGCUACAGCUUUUCAUAGACAACUUGUUGACUAUGUUUAGUCUUGUGACUUACCCGCUUAUGCUAUUUUACCUACGCUUAGGAUGUUGAGCGCAUGUCUCUCUCU